rnacentral:rRNA from 1 species
ACGUAGGGGGCAAGCGUUAUCCGGAUUCAUUGGGCGUAAAGAGCGCGUAGGCGGCUUGCUAAGUCAGAUGUGAAAACCGGGGGCUUAACCCGCGGCCUGCAUCUGAAACUGGCAGGCUUGAGUCUGGUAGAGGAAAGUGGAAUUCCUAGUGUAGCGGUGAAAUGCGCAGAUAUUAGGAGGAACACCAGUGGCGAAGGCGGCUUUCUGGGCCACGACUGACGCUGAGGCGCGAAAGCUAGGGGAGCAAACAGG